CUCCUUCCAAAGCACCCAGGAGAAAGUCCCCGGCAUCAAAGGGAGACAUG
rnacentral:RNase_MRP_RNA from 1 species